rnacentral:sRNA from 1 species
GAUAAGAACUAGAUAGUUGUUGUGUUACAACAGUACAAUUGAGCUAGCCUUGUCCUUGUUGUGUUAACUUUAUUUUUAAAAUAAGGUUAAAAAUAAACGACUCGCGUUCUUAUCAGUUACUUAUUAGAUAAGGAGGUAAACCUUAUGUUAAAAUUUACUUCAAAUAUUUUAGCUACUAGUGUAGCUGAAACAACUCAAGUUGCUCCUGGAGGCUGCUGUUGCUGCUGUACUACUUGUUGCUUCUCGAUUGCUACUGGAAGUGGUAAUUCUCAAGGUGGUAGCGGAAGUUAUACGCCAGGUAAAUAAUCUAUUUAGCAUCUCUAUGUGAUAGUGAUAUUAAGGUAAUGAGUUUGCUAGCAACUAAGUUAUCUUUGGUAACUUCUGAUUAUAGAUGAAUGGCAUAGAGGUGUUAGAAAACAUGAGACAAAAGUAAUCUUCUUGAUGCUAACGUCUCAGGUAAUUAGCAGGUACUAGAUAGUACCUGCUAAUUACU